GUGCUUGGGCAGCACACACGCUGACAUUGGAACCGUGCCGAGAAGGUAGCAUGGCCCCUGCGGAGGGACGGCAUGCGACUUUGUGAAGCGGACCACAUUUCU